rnacentral:rRNA from 1 species
UACGAGAGGCCCAAACGUUAUUCGGAAUUACUGGGCUUAAAGAGUCCGUAGGCGGCGCAGAAAGUAGGGUGUGAAAGCCCUCGGCUCAACCGAGGAAUUGCGCUCUAAACUACUGUGCUUGAGGAACCUAGAGGUGAGCGGAACUGAUGGUGGAGCGGUGAAAUGCGUUGAUAUCAUCAGGAACACCGGGAGGCGAAGGCGGCUCACUGGGGGUUAUCUGACGCUGAGGGACGAAAGCCAGGGGAGCGAACGGG